AAGCGAUGCGGAGCCUGAUAAAGAUGGGGCUGUGUGGAUGUCCUCCCGCGCAGCGUCUGGGAAGCUACGGGAGCGGAGAGGAGCGGUGCCAGCCGGGAGCGGGAGGAGUGUCUUUUACGCUCUGAGUUCAUUAAAGACUCCUCUAAUAUGGAUGAACUCGGUGUCUCAUCAUUAUUAUAUCCCCUUUUUUCUUGCCAAACGGUGGGAUGACUUCGCGCUGCAAGAGGAUACAGUAGCUCACGAUGUGUGCACUCCUGUUAUAAUGCAACUGAGCUACAGUAGAGGCGGCAGAGAGUUUCAACUACAUCUCUGCUUUAAUCAGAGAUGUGAAAAGAUACAGCAAUCCCACCAAGUCCAAGGGCGUGAAUCAAUUAUGAAUUAGAUAUUAAUUGUGGUCCUUGCAACAGCUACUGUGCGCGUGGGAGGUCUAUGUUAAAGUAUGGGACUCUUUUCAUAUUGAGUUUACAUAUCUCAUUUUAGGGCAGAAUCUGAGUUGUUUGUCUUGAUACAUGCAUAAUGUGAAAUAAGACUAAACGUCCUCAUCAAGGUUCAACUUUCAUUUCAGACUCCAUCCUGGUCUACUGCCUCUCUUAUUCCGCAUAAAACGCCAACAGUGCUGCUUUAGUUUACACUCACAUGGCUUAAUUAUCCGUUUAUGCCCAUACCCCAACGUGGAAAAGGUCUCCUCCUAACCUGCACUACCUAGGGAAGAAAAGUCCCCUUAUUCCCAUUUAUCAAAGCUGGGGAGAAUUUGUUUUGGUUUUGAAAUCCAUAUCACUUUCGGCAUUUACUUCUUCAUGCUGUCUUUCUGAUUUAUGGUGUUUUACUUUGUCAGUGUAUUGAUUGUUGUGAUUCUAUCUUGUUUUGCUGCUGGUCCUCCUUCAAAAUUAAACUGCGAGAUUACCUGUUUCAAACAAAGGUAGCAAAAGAUUCAAGGUCAGUAUCAUUUUUCAGAUAGCAGAUUUUAUUUAACUGGUUGUAACCAUUUUAAAUUUAAGGGGAUAAUUCUGUAUUCUUUAAGUGUGUAUAUGUUAUCCCCAAUUUUCACCGCAUCCGGAACGGCUCCGAUCCGAAAUGGUGGCGAUUUUUGCUGUCCGCCAAUUCCAUGAAUUUCGUGGCGGAUUACGGACAGUAGUAAACGUAAGAACUCACAAGAACCCAUGGAUUUACGUGCAAUCGCGCGAUAAUGAGUUGUCUUUAUAAAGACAGCGACAUAACCAUAUGGUAGACUGUGUCCUUCAAGAAGAAGAAAUCCACUUCUAGACUUCUAAAAUCAUCAUCCUCUCAUCCAUGGCGUUAUCGGGGUGAAAUGCUGACUAUAAACCCUUCACUUGUUUGUCUCCACCUGUUUGCAUGGUGUGAAAUACGAUCUACCUGAAACACGUAGUGUUUUAUUUUGAAAAGAAGCAGGAUGUUUUAUUUUGUGUCUGUGCCCAACUUCCUUCCCAGCACAGGUUAAUCUCUGCAGAAUUUAUCCAGCAUGCUGGGAGAAAAAAGUGCUCUUGCGAUCAUCUGUGAAGUCUGGCGAUCUGCAGUGGAACGGAAAGAAGCCGGUGGAAAUUGACAUAUAAACUUAAAUGGUUACGAUCAGCUACGAUCGGUGGAUGCAGUGGAAAUAGGGGUUACAUGUCACUAGCCAGUGUAUUGGUCACAAUGGAUGCAGGUCAGCUCAGACCCUUUAAAAACUGGCACACAAGCUAGUCUACAGUUUUCUGCCGGCAGGACCAAUUCUGCCAAGUAUAUUAGCUAUUUUUAUGUGAAGUACUCAUUUGAUUGAGUUGUAUACUCUGUUUGUACAUUUUUUUCAGCACAUUUACCUCAGGAAGCUCAUUUGUUUUUGCACUAUUUGCAGACACAACACAUGUAUGUGGUCUUCUACCAGUGAAGCUCACUGAUCAAGCAACUGAGUCUUUGAUGUACGAGUCACUGGUUUAUAUUGUCACUUUUGAAUUUCAUUGCAUCUUAGUUUUCUAUUAUUUUAGGCACCCUAGUACCAGUCAGUUCAAGGUCCUGCUGUCCACAUACGGAUGUGUGGAAGGCGAGACACUUAACCCCAAAACUGGAUCUGUUGAUCAGUUCUUAGGUUGAAGUUUUCUGGGUUUGUUGACAUUUGCUUGGAGUUCACAGACCUGAGCGACCAAGUACCUUAGGCUUUCUCCUGCUCUCCAGUUAGCACAGCAGUUUCUACCCCUUGGCCUGUUGAGUCUUGUUUUUCCUCUUUAAACAUCUGGUUCAUAAAAAUGUCUUCUUGUGUCCACAGUAAACAUCUUGUCAUCACCACUGUCAGAAACACCGAUCAAGAAGUUUGGUUGUAUUUUGGUCUUAUGUCAGACAUGAGUCGCUGAUCAAUGCACUGCAUGAGGAGUAACUAGGCCUACUGUGUAAGUAUUGCGAAAAAAACAAGCUUUCAGAUGCCAAUGUGCUGAAAAUUCCUCAAGGAGAAAUGGCUACGACAUGUUAUAAGUGACAUAUAAGUCAUAAAACCCCACUUCAAGAAAACUGAACUAUCCCUUUGAGAUAGAUCUCAGACAUUUAGUUCGGCCAAAGAAGCAGAAGAAUUCCAUCUGCUAGAGGUUGUGUUCCAGAUACUCAAAUACACCUGCUUGGCUCCUCAGUGGAGCAUGUAUUUUCUGUCAGUGUGACUGUUGUGAUUGGAGGUCUUGUCAUAAUGUGUCACUUCAAAACAUUGGCCUUCCUCAAUUAGGCCAGUGUAAGGUAUAAUAGCCCCCAGCCAGUGAACAAUUCUCAGCCCCAUAAAAAGCACACACAGUAAGCUAUUUAAUCUUGCACUGAUUUAAACCAAAGUGCUCAGUCACUUUUUCUUAGAAAAAAAGGGGGGUGGGGUGGGGGGUGGGUGCAUAGUUGGAAAAAAAUAGAGCUUUUAUGAAAAGUGAAAAGGCCCUGUGGGAUGGAUAUCAGAAGCCGGUGGAUGUGCAUAAUUUAUCUCAGACUUUUUCAGAAAGCCCUACAUUAGAGGGCUUUCUUUAGCCCGCCUUUGUCAUUUUAAAACUCAAAAUAUUAGCCCUCUGCUCCGUGCAGGAGGGAGACAGAUCACUCAGGUUUACAGAAGCCUCAUGUUGUCAGUUUUGUUUUUAAGUGGCAGUUCAGACAAGGAAGACUCUCCCUUUAAACCCUUUAAGAGACUCCAGAUGUAGACUAAAUUCAACACAGAACUGCAAAACAGACUUAAACAUCAUUAAACAAUCUAAAACAGUGUGUUAUUUAUGUAUUAUUACUUAAACCUGCUGUUUUUACAUGCAGAUACAGCAUGAUGGGACACCAGAUGUUACAAUUCAUUAAAUCAUCAGGCUGUGCUUGAAACUGACAUGACAUAUUGGGUAUGUAUCCAUGUUAACAGUGUUUAUGUUCACAUAAAUAUUACAUGUGCAUGAGUGGUUUUGUCAGCAAGUGCUCUUAUUUCAGGGUGUGGCUGCUCACAAACAAGCAUCGCUCCAGCCGGCACAGCUGACACACUCCAGCUUCCCUCCUCCUGACUUGAGUACACCCCCCUCUGCUGGUGUGAGGCAGUAAACAACAAUCUUCUCGUUGCUUUGUUUGGCUGCAGGGACUCUGGGUACAGGUCCAAGAACACUAAUUCAGACCCACAGGAAGGCUUUGCUAACCG